rnacentral:rRNA from 1 species
UACGUAGGCAGCAAGCGUUGUUCGGAGUUACUGGGCGUAAAGCGUGUGUAGGCGGCCCGUUAAGUGUCUUGUGAAAUCCCCCGGCUCAACCGGGGAACGGCUGGGCAUACUGGCGGGCUUGGGUCGCUCAGGGGCAGACGGAACAGGCGGUGGAGCGGUGAAAUGCGUAGAUAUCAUUUGGAACGCCAAUGGUGAAAACAGGUAACUGGGGCUGUGCUGACGCUGAGACACGAAAGCCAGGGGAGCGAACGGG